GGAGAGGUGGCCGAGCGGCUUAAGGCGAUAGGUUGCUAACCUGUUGUACGGGUUACACCGUACCGAGGGUUCGAAUCCCUCCCUCUCCG
rnacentral:tRNA from 1 species